UUCUCACACAACAUUAUUUCCAUUUUGCAGUAGAAAUCGCACCUCAAACCAGACAGUCCGCAAGCUAAUCUGCCUUUAAAUGCCUUAACUGGGCCUCCUUUAGGCCUACUCAAUAGGCCAGCCCAUAAAACCUGUUUCCAAAUAAACCCUGCACCGGUUCGGACCGGAGCACGGAAACCCCAGGGAGAACAAACACAGCGAGAGCAAUGGCGAGGUGGUGGCGCUGCGCCGGCGGCGCCUCCGUGGCGACGGUCCGACGGACGCCCUCCGCCACGUACCACCGCACUAUCCAGGCGGUGCCGAAGGAGCACACCGGGUACCGGGCGGCCGCCGGCCGGAUCCCAUCGGUGGUGCGGAGCCCCGGCUAGGGCAGCGACACCGCCACUCAGAACCAGCUCCGCACCACCGAUGCGAAGCAGAUCCGGGAUCUCCUCAAGCAGUUGCCCUUCUUCUGUUCCACCCCCAUCCGCCUACAGGUCCGCCCCGGCCCGGCUCCGGCGUCGUCCUCGACUCCAGCACCGCCCUCCCCGUCAAGGCACGGAGAAAAGGCGGCCUUUUUAUUGGAGUUCUUCUUGAUCAUUAUCUUUGGUAUUCGACGAUAGGUUCAUAAGAAGGUGGAGACGGGAGAUAUUCUAAAUUUGGUGAUGGCGUGGGUGGAGAAGGGAUCGGAGCAGAAGGUGACGUUCCCGUCGUAUUUAAGGGAGAGGACGUCCACCCGGGCUUAAGAAAGGGGGUUAUCUGCACAAGACAGCCCACCCUAAAAGACCUCUGCCCAACAGAAGACAUUCCUCCAAAAAUUGGGAUGGAUCUGACAAAUCUGGAUAUCGGAGAUAGAGUUUUCAUGCAUGAUUUCGAUGUCCACCCACCAUUGCAGCUUUUGAGUAAAAAUGACAGCAUGCUCAUUGGUAAGAUCUUGGCAACACGGCCCGUUGAAUCAGAACCUCAGCCAGCAUCAGUAGCCACAGAAACGCAAAAGGUUACAGGAAUGUAGUUUAAACAAAUCCCACCCGUAUACAGUCUUGCCACAUGGUGUAUGCUUGAAGAGCAAGUAUGUCAGUGUUUUUGAUGGUUUUCCAGGGAACGAUAUAUACAUGAUAGAUGAGACCGUUAUGUUUUCACUCCAUUAAUCAUGCCAUCUAUUGUGAA